CAGUCGCCACGGUAAUACGUAUGUCACAAGCGUUAUCCGGAUUUAUUGGGCGUAAAGCGCGUCUAGGUGGUUAUGUAAGUCUGAUGUGAAAAUGCAGGGCUCAACUCUGUAUUGCGUUGGAAACUGUGUAACUAGAGUACUGGAGAGGUAAGCGGAACUACAAGUGUAGAGGUGAAAUUCGUAGAUAUUUGUAGGAAUGCCGAUGGGGAAGCCAGCUUACUGGACAGAUACUGACGCUGAAGCGCGAAAGCGUGGGUAGCAAACAGGAUUAGAUACCCCCGUAGUCCCUGUCUCUUAUACA
rnacentral:rRNA from 1 species